rnacentral:rRNA from 1 species
GUAGCUAUGUACGGAAUGGAUAAGCGCUGAAAGCAUCUAAGCGCGAAGCCAACUUCAAGAUAAGAUUUCCCACCGCAAGGGUAAGACCCCAGAAAGACUAUCUGGUUGAUAGGUCGAAGGUGUAAGUGCAGCAAUGUAUUUAGCUUAUCGAUACUAAUAGGUCGAGGACUUGACCAA